AGUGAUGUAGUAUAAUGGAAAUACGUUUGCCCUGCAGGCAAAAGUUGGUGGUUCGAAUCCUCCGUUCACUA
rnacentral:tRNA from 1 species